UUUUAAAUUUGGUGUUUUCAAAUUUAAUUCAAAUUGGGUAAAGAGUAAGUUCAAGCUUGGAUUUUAUAAGUCAUGUUUUUAAAUUUAGUGAUCUCUAUAUAUGAAGAUUGGAUUGAUUAUAGAAACUUAAAAUUAGUUAAAGUGGCGGAGUAAGGAAAGGGGUGAUAAGCUUCGAAAAUUUUUCGUUUAUGUUUCUUUUUUAGUUUAUAAAAUUUUAAAUUAAUAAUGAUAAGAUUACACUUUGGCCCUUCAAAAUGAUAAAAAUCUAAUUUAAUCCUUUAAAAUUAUAAAAUUAUAGACUAUUAAGAUAACAAAUGUAAUAGGCCCAAUUUGCCCUGGCCUGAUACAGAUAUUAAAAACCAAUAAUAAGCAAUCCAAUCCAAUAAUGUCAAUCCAAUUACAAAAGCCUAAUACACUUUUCAAGCCCGAUUACAGACCCAUAUACAUGGCCCAAAUCACUAACCCAAAAGACCCCACUAAAACCCAAACCCACUAGCCUAGAAACCUUUAGCCCAAUGAGCCCAAAACGCAAAACAGGAGCAAGGAACCCUAGCAGCUUCCAGCGCCGUUCUCCCCAGCCACGCACGCCUCCGUACAGCCUUCCCUCGCACGUACGCCACUGCCACCUUGACCCAGCCUCACGCGAGCCUCCACAUCACUGCACCUGACACCGUACUCGUACCUGCACUCGCAACAAACGCCUGCAAAACAAGCAGAGACAGAACGCAAAAGAAAAAGGAGAAUAGCAGAAAAAUAGGAGAAAAAAUGAUGUAUUUUUUUAUUUUAUUUUCGAUUCGGCUAUAAAGCCAUUUUGAGAAUCAACACACAGCGACAGAGAUUGUAAAAACAAACUCAGAAAAAAAUAUCAAUACAACAAAGGUUUUUUUUCUCUCUUGGCGAUUCUGUUUUUUUUUUUUUUUUUAUCGUUCUUCUUUCUUUCGUUCUUUGUUUUGUUAUUAAUACAUACAUAAGCAUAUAUAAAAUAAAAAGAAACAGGGGAGAGACUCACCUUCCGGUUUGAGGCCGCCGGACCUCGCUCGCUUCGUCGAAAUCGAAAUUCGAGAGGGGGUGCAUCAGGGUUGCGGCGGAGAGAAAAGGAGAUCCUUUUUCUGUCUUUUAGAAUGGUUUAGGGUUUAUUUCCUUUUUCUUUUUCUUUUUCAUUUAUGCCUGAAUGACUCUUAUCUAG
rnacentral:lncRNA from 1 species